GAGGAAGAGGGAGGAGAGAACUGGAGAAAGCAAGCGGGCGCAGCGUGGCGCCCAGCACUACGUUCACCGUGCAAGACAAGCAGGAGUCUGCACAGUUUAGUCCAGGGUGCACGUCUUUAUGUAAACCUAUUGAAAGCUGCCUUUACUCUUCUGCAAAGCUGGAUGGAUGAUUAAUCAGGUUAAUAAUAGAUCUUGCCAGCCUCUUGCCAGAUCCCUG